GGGCUUGUGGUCUAGCGGUAUGACAUCUUCUUAGCAUUGUGGCGAUUAGUCAUAUGUGAAGUGGAGAAGGUUCCGCGUUCGACUCGCGGCUAGUCCA